UCAUACUUGUGUACCACUACGUUAAAUUUAAUAGAUGCUACACUAUGAAGCAAGAUUACAAAGCCUGAUUCAAGCGUGUAAAGAACCUCUCUUCAUGACAAGCGGCUAAUGAGUUCUCACGGCAUAAAAGUAUGAACGUCAUAAAGAACCUUAAUGGAGUUUCAUGUUGAACGACAUGAGAGAAAAGACGAAAUAAAUGCCAGUUAAAGAGAAA